AGAUAAAAGUAUUAAGAGGGCAUAAAGAUGCUGUGAACAGUUGUUCAUUUACAUUUGAUGACUCCAAAAUUGUCACUGCCUCACAUGACAAGACCCUGAGACUUUGGGAUGCGACCUCUGGAGCACAAGUCAAGGUGUAUAAAGGCCACAAUUCAUAUGUGACUUGCUGUCACACAGACCCUAACAGUGCAAGGAUUGCAUCCGGUGGAUGGGAUAAAAGACUUCUUGUCUGGGAUAUUCAGACUGGUACAAUUCUGGUAUGACUCUCUGGUGCUCAUUUUUUGUACCCAAAUGAAUGUUUACAUGUUUGAUUUCUGUAAUAAAAGUAUGC